rnacentral:rRNA from 1 species
CAACGCCGCGUGGAGGAUGAAGUCCCUUGGGACGUAAACUCCUUUCGAUCGGGACGAUAAUGACGGUACCGGAAGAAGAAGCCCCCGGCUAACUUCGUGC